rnacentral:rRNA from 1 species
AGAGUUUGAUCCGUGGCUCAGGACGAACGCUGGCGGCGUGCUUAACACAUGCAAGUCGAACGAGGUUUAGAGACUCGGUUUUUGACCGAGUGGCGGACGGAUGAGUAACACGUGAGCAACCUGCCUUUCAGAGAGGGAUAGCUUCUGGAAACGGAUGGUAAUACCUCAUAACAUAUGAAUUUGGCAUCUUAUUCAUAUCAAAGAUUUAUCGCUGAAAGAUGGGCUCGCGUCUGAUUAGCUGGUUGGUGAGGUAACGGCCCACCAAGGCAACGAUCAGUAGCCGGACUGAGAGGUUGAACGGCCACAUUGGGACUGAGACACGGCCCAGACUCCUACGGGAGGCAGCAGUGGGGAUAUUGCACAAUGGGCGCAAGCCUGAUGCAGCGAUGCCGCGUGAGGGAAGAAGGUUUUCGGAUUGUAAACCUCUGUCAUCGGGGACGAAAAUGACGGUACCCGAGAAGGAAGCUCCGGCUAACUACGUGCC